GCGCCCCCCUCCGCCCCGCCUCCCUCCUAGGUGAAGGAAGAUGAUUCCCCCCCCCAUCUUGACCGCCCCCUGCCUUCGCUGCCAAGCACGGACUCCGCCUGCUCCAGCCGACCCGGUACCAGUGGUUAGAUCCAAGAGAAUUCCGGAACCCAAACGGUAAUAGGCACGCUUGGGUGAUUCUUGCCCCCUACUGGUGGCGCGUCCCACUGGCCUUGAGCUGAAACACUUGGAGUUGAAGGUGUGAGCUCUUCAAGAGAACCGUAGAGGGAAAACGGGGAGAAAAAAAAAAUAGUCGUGUUAAGAAGAUUAUGAACCUUCCAACUCGGCCUCUGUAUACAUAAGCUCCAGGGAACUCAGAAGCCUGCUAUGCACAGAGGCUGCUCUUGUUGGAUGUGCAUUCUAGAAGGAUCACUCUGGAAGCGAUGUAGCAGAUGGAUCUAAGAACUGAACUGCAGAUUCCCCGGAUCCUCUCCUGGUGACAAAACCUAACCCUAGCUGACAAAGGAGCAAUAUGGUUUGCAGCCCCAGCGUUGCAGAACAGGAUAGGGAAAACUGGAUUUGGAGAUUUUAUUUUUAAGUAAUCUCCACACCCAACAUGAGGCUCAAACUCACAACUCAGAGAUCAAAGAGUUGAACACUCAGGGGACGCCUGGAUGGCUCAGCGGGUUAAAGCCUCUGCCUUUGGCUCAAGUCAUGAUCCCGGCGUCCUGGGAUGGAGCCCCACAUCGGGCUCUCUGCUCAGUGGGGAGCCUGCUUCCUCCUCUCUCUCUCUGCCUGCCGUUCUGCCUACUUGUGAUCUCUCUCUCUGUAAAAUAAGUAAAUAAAAUCUUAAAAAAAAAAAAAGUUGUACACUCUAGGGCACCUGGGUGGCUCAGUCGUUAGGCAUGUGCCUUCGGAUCAGGUCAUGAUCCCAGGGUCCUGGGGUGGCAUCCCACGUCAGGUUUCCUGCUCAGCAGGGAGUCUGCUUCUCCCUCUCCCACUCCCCUUACUUGUUUCCUCUCUCGCUGACUCUCCCUGUCAAUUAUAUAAAUAUAAUUUUUUUUUAUUUUUU